AUGCUCACUUUGGAAAUACAUAUACUAAAAUUGGAAUGGUACAGGGAAGAUUAGCAUAUCCUCUAGCAUGUGCACACGUAAGUUUGUGACACAUUCCAUAUUUUU